CUUUUCUUUGAAUUAUUUCUUCAUGUUAAGCAUAUGAAAAGACCUACAACCACUCUUAAAAUACUUGGUUAGAAUCAUAAUUACUCAAAAUUUUACAAUCAUCAAAAUCAAUCAUAGGCUCAACAUCUCUCUUUUUUUGAUGAUAGCAAAACUUUUAGUAUAUGCAUAAAAUAAAAUUAAUAUGUUUCAAUUAAUUGACUGGUAUGAAUCAUGAAAUAAGAAUGGACAC
rnacentral:lncRNA from 1 species